UACAGAGGGGGCAAGCGUUGUUCGGAAUUACUGGGCGUAAAGGGCGCGUAGGCGGCCUUCUAAGUCGAACGUGAAAUCCCCGGGCUCAACCCGGGAACUGCGUCCGAUACUGGCAGGCUUGAAUCCGGGAGAGGGAUGUGGAAUUCCAGGUGUAGCGGUGAAAUGCGUAGAUAUCUGGAGGAACACCGGUGGCGAAGGCGGCUUCCUGGACCGACACUGACGCUGAGGCGCGAAAGCUAGGGGAGCAAACGGG
rnacentral:rRNA from 1 species